CNANGANNUUUGAUNCCCUGCUCAGGAUGAACGCUGGCGGCGUGCUUAACACAUGCAAGUCGAACGAUGAAGACGGCUCUAGUUUUUGCUCGNGGUGCAAAACNCAAAAGAUUAGUGGCGAAGGGGUGAGUUUUUUUCACGUGCCCAAAGUAACCCAAAAAAUUGGCGUUGACUCUGGUAUAAGCUUGGGAAACUGGGUCUAAUACCGGAUAGGAACGUCCACCGCAUGGUGGGUGUUGGAAAGAUUUAUCGGUCAUGGAUGGACUCGCGGCCUAUCAGCUUGUUGGUGAGGUAAUGGCUCACCAAGGCGACGACGGGUAGCCGGCCUGAGAGGGUGACCGGCCACACUGGGACUGAGACACGGCCCAGACUCCUACGGGAGGCAGCAGUGGGGAAUAUUGCACAAUGGGCGAAAGCCUGAUGCAGCGACGCCGCGUGAGGGAUGACGGCCUUCGGGUUGUAAACCUCUUUCAGUAGGGAAGAAGCGAAAGUGACGGUACCUGCAGAAGAAGCACCGGCUAACUACGUGCCAGCAGCCGCGGUAAUACGUAGGGUGCGAGCGUUAUCCGGAAUUAUUGGGCGUAAAGAGCUCGUAGGCGGUUUGUCGCGUCUGUCGUGAAAGUCCGGGGCUUAACCCCGGAUCUGCGGUGGGUACGGGCAGACUAGAGUGCAGUAGGGGAGACUGGAAUUCCUGGUGUAGCGGUGGAAUGCGCAGAUAUCAGGAGGAACACCGAUGGCGAAGGCAGAAGUAAAAAAAAAACUGUGGGUUUUUUUUUUAAACCCUGACGCAAUGAGGAGCGAAAGCANUGGGGAGUUUUUUUUUNNCCCCCCCCAAGAACAGGAUUAGAUANCGGUGGUUUUAGUUUUNCCAUGCCGCUCANAAAAACAAAAAAAAAAGUUGCGGCACUAGAGUGAUGGGGACCAUUNCCACGGUUUCCGCGCCGCAGCUAACGCAUUAAGUGCCCCGCCUGGGGAGUACGGCCGCAAGGCUAAAACUCAAANGAANNUGANCGGA
rnacentral:rRNA from 1 species